AGAAAGGAUCCGUAAGAGAUGGGAAAAGACAUUAAGCUAUUGUAAAUAUCUGUCCUUUGAGAGAGAAAGAAGGGGAGAGAGUUGAACAGGCAGUCUCAGACUGCAGAGCAUGUCUAACAAAGUUUCAGGCAGGCCAAAUGAGAGUCUUGAGGCUCAUCUGUCAAGGGUAUCCCCUGUCUCACAGGAACGGACCUGCCUUAGUAUUCCUGCCGUGUUCAGUCCUUGGAGGAGAGAAGCCCAUGGGUAGCAUGACUUAGCAUGAAUGGUGCAGUGGUGAACUCAGUGGAUAGCAGCUGGGGCCAUCCAACAACUAUGCUUCCCCAAGCAGGAGACCUGGGUGGCACAUUUUCAUGGAUACCAAGUACAUGCCUUAUGCUGCACAGAUCUACUUCACACAGCUUUGGAGAACAGCUUCUCCGUGGUUCCUACGGACUUCUCUUUCUGAGGAGAAACUUAGAAAAGUAAGGUCUCCUCUGCUAAUUUCUUGUUAUUCUUUUAUGGAUGAGCUUGAAAUAAACACCUGAGGAAGAAAUGCCAACAUCAACUCUAUACAUUUCCCUUACAGCUAAAGUCACUCUCUAGCAAACAGCUUCACCCUUUCUUUCUUCUGGAC
rnacentral:lncRNA from 1 species